rnacentral:rRNA from 1 species
GAUGAACGCUGGCGGCGUGCCUAACACAUGCAAGUCGAACGGAGAUUACGGACGGAAGUUUUCGGAUGGAAGCCUGUAAUUCUUAGUGGCGGACGGGUGAGUAACGCGUGGGCAACCUGCCCUAUACAGGGGGAUAGCAGCUGGAAACGGCUGGUAAGACCGCAUAAGUCGGUUAAAUCGCAUGAUUUGAUCGGGAAAUGAGCAAUCAGGUAUAGGAUGGGCCCGCGUCCGAUUAGCCAGUUGGCAGGGUAAAAGCCUACCAAAGCGACGAUCGGUAGCCGGACUGAGGGGUCGGACGGCCACAUUGGGACUGAGACACGGCCCAAACUCCUACGGGAGGCAGCAGUGGGGGAUAUUGCACAAUGGAGGAAACUCUGAUGCAGCGACGCCGCGUGAGUGAAGAAGUAUUUCGGUAUGUAAAGCUCUAUCAGCAGGGAAGAUGAUGACGGUACCUGACGAAGAAGCCCCGGCUAACUACGUG